UGUCCUUUUGAUUAUAAUUUAAGGUCUAAUCUGCCCAAUGAUAAAAUUAAAUGGCCGCGGUAUAUUGACCGUGCAAAGGUAGCAUAAUAAUUAGUUUCUUAAUUAGAAGCUGGAAUGAAAGAUUGGAUGAGAAAAUAACUGUCUCAAUGUAAUUUAUUUAGAAUUUUAUUUUUAAGUUAAAAAGCUUAAAUUAAAUUAAAAGACGAGAAGACCCUAUAGAGUUUAAUUUUAUUUUUAAUUAAAAAUUUAUUGAUUAAAAUUUUUUUAUUUAAAAAUAAAAUUUUGUUGGGGUGACAAAAAAAUUAAAUAAACUUUUUUUAAAUAUUACCAUUAAUUAAUGAAUAAUUGAUCCAAAAAUUUUGAUUAUAAGAUUAAAUUACCUUAGGGAUAACAGCGUAAUUUUUUUUAAGAGUUCUUAUCGAAAAAAAAGAUUGCGACCUCGAUGUUGGAUUAAAGUUAAAUCUUGGUGUAGAAGCUAAGAAUUUAGGUCUGUUCGACCUUUAAAACUUU
rnacentral:rRNA from 2 species